rnacentral:lncRNA from 1 species
UCAGGCCGUGGUCAGGGCUGUUUAAAUGGCCGCUGAGGACGGCCCGGAGGAGUGCUGCCCGUGUCCCCCUAGAGGAGGUGAGCCAGCGAGUCACACUCAGGGGCAGUGCUGGCGCGGGAACAAGGGGGCAUAAACCGGCCUCGGGUACGUUUUCGACGGAAGUGAGGCAAAAGUUGCUAACUGCCAGAGGGGCGAGCUUUCAAAACAGCCCUCGAAAGAGCAAGAGCACCAGCCCCGCUGUUUUAUCCAGCUCCAUCACAGACUUUAGGAAGGGCCUUAAAAACGGGAUAUGUGCAGUGCAUGAGAGCUGAUCGGACUGGCCCGGGAAAGGCCGUUUCCACUCCCGUGUUUCAACGAAUCUUGCAGUAUUUUACAGUUUCUUUGAUUCGUGUUUUUGUAUUCCUCAGUGCUGUUUUCUGACAGAUGUUAAUUCUAACAUUAUGCUUGGACACAAGCAUACAACUUCCUGCCCUGCUCAGGCUCUUGAGAAGGAGGAUGUAUCUGAAGAAGCAUGAAGAAGCUACCUCAGGAGCAGGAAGUUUGCCAGAGUCUGCGAGACCAGUUGGUUUUCAGGGCAUAAAAGAGUACUCAGAGAAGACAAGGUCGUUGCAGAGAAGCUAA